UACGGAAGGGGCAAGCGUUGUUCGGAAUCAUUGGGCGUAAAGGGCGCGCAGGUGGCUCUGUAUGCCUGCCGUGAAAGCAUACAGCUCAACUGUAUUGUGUCGGUAGAAACUGCAGGACUUGAGGCUGGGAGGGGCUGGUGGAAUUCCCUGUGUAGCGGUGAAAUGCGUAGAGAUGGGGGAGAACACUCGUGGCGAAGGCGGCCAGCUAGACCAGUUCUGACACUGAGGCGCGACAGCGUGGGGAGCAAACAGG
rnacentral:rRNA from 1 species